ACAGUUCAGCCAUGUUCUGUGAAACUUUAAAUUACUACAAGAUCAGAUCAGAUCUUGGCUGCAAGUAGGACUGGAAAAUGCUCUGGUGUCAGAGAACUAACGGAAGAAUGAGAUGUAAAAGAACAUGCAUCACAGCUAGAACAAGGUACAAGUUUCACCUUAUUUAAACCCGCGAUAAGUCCUCGCUUGUAACUUAACCAUGUGGCCCAUGUUGUGAUCAC
rnacentral:lncRNA from 1 species